rnacentral:rRNA from 1 species
GAUGAACGCUGGCGGCGUGCCUAAUACAUGCAAGUAGAACGCUGAAGGAGGAGCUUGCUCUUCUGGAUGAGUUGCGAACGGGUGAGUAACGCGUAGGUAACCUGCCUGGUAGCGGGGGAUAACUAUUGGAAACGAUAGCUAAUACCGCAUGACAACAGUUAUUGCAUGAUAACUGUUUAAAAGGGGCAACUGCUCCACUACCAGAUGGACCUGCGUUGUAUUAGCUAGUUGGUGAGGUAACGGCUCACCAAGGCGACGAUACAUAGCCGACCUGAGAGGGUGAUCGGCCACACUGGGACUGAGACACGGCCCAGACUCCUACGGGAGGCAGCAGUAGGGAAUCUUCGGCAAUGGACGGAAGUCUGACCGAGCAACGCCGCGUGAGUGAAGAAGGUUUUCGGAUCGUAAAGCUCUGUUGUAAGAGAAGAACGAGUGUGAGAGUGGAAAGUUCACACUGUGACGGUAUCUUACCAGGAAGGGACGGCUAACUACGUG